rnacentral:lncRNA from 1 species
AAAAGGGUUCUCUUAAUCAUAACAGCAUGAAGAUGAAGAUGACAGCUCGCCUCCUAAAACAGCAUGAAGAUGAAGAUGACAGCUCGCCCACUAAAACAGGCCAGAGUUGAAGCUAAAUGAGAGAAAGGCCAAGGAUGAGCCAAAUAUCUGUCAUACCUCAUUGAAGCUUCGUGCCGCUCAAAUCAAGUGUGAUGGGCUGUUUGGACAGAAAAGUGUGCAAAAGGUUGGAGAUGUGUAUCACUUCCACUCGAACGUGCCCGCUUGGUCGCUGAGACAGCAGCCAGACGAAUCGGAGGGAGUCUAUCAGCGCUUCGUUUCAGAGGAUCGGGUAAACAUUAUACUACUGAGGGCUGAUGUGUGUGUGCGUGUGUAUGUGCAUGUGUGUGUGUAUUGCAUUAAAGCAGUAACCACCCUGGAGAUCCAAGACUGCAGCCAAAAUCAUGGGUCAUUAAAUUCAAAGUAUAAAGGGGUGUGAAGUUUUGUUACUGUCCAAGGUGCAACAAGGUGUGGCAGGUACCGAAUUCAGGGCCGUCAUGGUAACUGCUGUACUGACUAAGCAACUGCAAUGUUCAUAUUGAAAAAAAGUCAUUAAAUGCAGAUCUCAGAUCUAUUAAACUGCUAUUUAAGUUAUACAAUAAUGGCACAGGAAAUCAUUUGUUGGCAAACAUGGCAAUAACUCAAACAAAAUUAUUGUUUAUGUAAUAUAUAUAUGUAGUUUAUGUAAUGUAUUUGUUUAUGUAAUGACCCAGUAUCUUCUUAAUAGAAGAAAAAAAAAAUUCUCCCCUGGAGCCACAAAGCAUCGUUACACUGACUUU